rnacentral:lncRNA from 1 species
GUAGCAUCCCUCUGGUGGCUAUAAAAUGGUUGGGUGCUGGGUGUCCGACGUAUUCAGAAAGUGUUUCCAAUUUUGUCUCCAUUGCUCUCCUUUCUUUUUUACAACCUAUCUUAGUUUUAGGACAAGGCUUUGGGAUUUAAGAUAAAGCCUUAUCUGGUCCUAACAAGGGUUGUGAGGGUCGUAAAGAAAGAGGAUCAGAAGUUUAGAGGAGGUUUUGAGAGGGUGGAGUCAGUUUCCUAGAGAAACCUGACCAGUAUGAGGCUAGUCGAGUUCUAAUGGCUAAAACUCUUAAAGCAAGGUGAAGAAGGAGCACUGUCUUUGGUUCAGUUUUCGUGUGGAUCACCAUUGGAGGGUGGACACUUGGACAUCUCAUGGAAAUUGGAUUAGUGCUACAGGUAUUUUUCUGAUCCUAAUUUAUAUUUAUUGUACCUUGAUUAUUAUAGUCAAAGAUUUCUGGGCAUUGGGAUUUUCGAUGCAUCGGGUAUUUUGAAUAAAAAUUUUAAACACCUAACCCUUCCGCUGCACCACCAGAACCC